rnacentral:lncRNA from 1 species
CUAAAUUAUCAGGGAAAAUGGAAGCUACAGCAGGAACCAGUCAUCAAUUCACAGCUGCUGCCACCCUUAGAUCCUGGAUCAAUAUAAGAGAAUCAGCUCAUACAGCAAAAAUGCAAAAUAUUCUGCCCAGGCAGCCCAAGGAAGAUCUGUAUCACUGAUAGACGCUGGCUUUUCUUCCAAUAAAAGCUGAAAACAACAACCAGCCCCCAGGCACAGACUGGGGGUGCAGAGAGGAGUUGAACCUGCCGUGGGGUGGUGAUGGCACUGCAGGGACAGCUGGAUGCACUCCCUGGAGAGGUGCCUUUUUGCUACAUCAGAGAAGCUGGUUGUGCUCCAGGCUGCAGGUGACAACAGAGGGGACAAACAGCACCUGCAGCCUGGAUAACAGCCACCAGAGCUGGCCUGCUGCUGGACAGGACAGAGAUUUGGACAUCAGGCAGGGAUUUGGG